ACACGAAUCUCGGCAUAGCCUAACACAUGCAAGUCUCUGCAGCGCGGACUGAGGUCUGGCUAUGAGUGGCGGACGGGUGAGGAAUGCAUCGGAAUCUGCCCCGACGUGGGAUAACUUGGGGAAACUCAAGCUAAUACCGCAUACGUCCAGUGGAGACAGCAGGGGACCUUCGGGCCUUGCGCGGCUCGAUGAGCCGAUGCCGGAUUAGCUUGUUGGUGGGGUAAAGGCCCACCAAGGCGACGAUCCGUAGCUGGUCUGAGAGGAUGAUCAGCCACACCGGGACAUAGACACGGCUCGGACUCCUACGGGAUGCAGCAGUGGGGAAUAUUGGACAAUGGCGGCAACCCUGAUCCAGCAAUGCCGCGUGUGUGAUGAAGGCCUUCGCGUUGUAAAGCACUCAUAUCAGGAAAGACUCGCACGGGUACAUACCCUGUGGCGAUGACGGUACCUGAGGAAUAAGCACCGGCUAACUUCGUGCCAGCAGCCGCACUAAUACGAAGGGUGCAAGCGUUAAUCGGAAUUACUGCCCGUAAAGGGUGCGUAGGCGGUUUGUUAAGUUGGAUGUGAAAGCCCCGGGCUCAACCUGGGAAUGGCAUCCAAAACUGGCAGGCUGGAGUGCGGUAGAAGAUGGUGGAAUUCCUGGUGUAGCGGUGAUAUGCGUAGAGAUCGGGAGGAACAUCGAUGGCGAAGGCAGCCAUCUGGACCAGCACUGACCCUGAGGCACGAAAGCGUGGGGAGCAAACAGGAUUAGAUACCCUGGUAGUCCACGCCCUAAACGAUGCGACUGGAUGUUGUGGGCAACUAGGCUCUCAGUAUCGAAGCUAACGCGUUAAGUUCGCAGCCUGGAGUACGGUCGCAAGACUGAAACUCACAGGAAUUGACGGGGGCCUGCACAAGCGGUGGAGUAUGUGGUUAGCUCGAUGCAACGCGAAGAACCUUACCUGGCCUUGACACGUCGCGAACCCUGCAGAGAUGCGGGAGUGCCUUCGGCAAUGCGAACAAGGUGCUGCAGACCUGUAGUCCAGUCGUUGAGAUGUUGGGUUAAGUCCCGCAACGAGACUUCUCCUUGUCCCUAGUUGCCAGCGUAAAGGUGGGAACUCUAGGGAGACCGCCGGUGACAAACCGGAGGAAGGUGGGAUGACGUCAAGUCAUCAUGAUGCUAACGGCCAGCCACACACGUACUACAAUGCCGCGUACAGAGGGUUGCGAGGCCGCGAGGUGGAGCCAAUCCCAGAAAACGCUUCAGUCCGGUUCGAAGUCUGCAACUCGGUCUCGUGAGCUCGGAAUCGCUAGUAAUCGCAGAUCAGAAUGCUGCGGUGAAUACGUUCCCGGCUCUUGUACACACCGCCCGUCACACCAUGGGAGUGGGCUGCUCCAGAAGCCGUUUGCCUAACCGCAAGGAGCCGACGACGACGGCUUGGUUCAUGAUUGGUAGGC
rnacentral:rRNA from 1 species